GCGGAUGUGGUGCAUGGUGCACUCCUUCAUUUCAUGUCACUAUCUCGACAUAGUGUUGAAGGCUGUCGGGGUUCGAUUCCCCGCGUCUGCA